rnacentral:rRNA from 1 species
UACGAAGGGGGCUAGCGUUGCUCGGAAUCACUGGGCGUAAAGCGCACGUAGGCGGACUCUUAAGUCGGUGGUGAAAUCCUGGAGCUCAACUCCAGAACUGCCUUCGAUACUGGGAGUCUCGAGUCCGAGAGAGGUGAGUGGAACUGCGAGUGUAGAGGUGAAAUUCGUAGAUAUUCGCAAGAACACCAGUGGCGAAGGCGGCUCACUGGCUCGGUACUGACGCUCAGGUUCGAAAGCGUGGGGAGCAAACAGG